rnacentral:rRNA from 1 species
UACGUAGGGGGCUAGCGUUGUCCGGAAUCAUUGGGCGUAAAGAGCGCGUAGGCGGCCAGAUAAGUCCGGUGUGAAAGUCAAAGGCUCAACCUUUGAAUGCCGCUGGAAACUGUCUGGCUAGAGUCCGGGAGGGGCGAGUGGAAUUCCUGGUGUAGCGGUGAAAUGCGCAGAUAUCAGGAGGAACACCUAUUGCGAAGGCAGCUCGCUGGGACGUAACUGACGCUGAGACGCGAAAGCGUGGGGGAGCAAACAGG